rnacentral:rRNA from 1 species
GGAGUUUGGGCCGUGUCUCAGUCCCAAUGUGGCCGGUCACCCUCUCAGGUCGGCUACUGAUCGUCGCCUUGGUGGGCCGUUACCUCACCAACUAGCUAAUCAGACGCGGGCCCAUCCCAUACCACCGGAGUUUUUCACACUGUCUCAUGCGAGACCGUGCGCUUAUGCGGUAUUGUCAGUCGUUUCCAACUGUUAUCCCCCUGUAUGGGGCAGGUUGCCCACGCGUUACUCACCCGUCCGCCACUCGGUUAAAAAUCGUCACCCCGAAGGGAUCGUAAUAAGUAACCUCGUUCGACUUGCAUGUGUUAAGCACGCCGCCAGCGUUCAUC